GACGAACGCUGGCGGCGUGCUUAACACAUGCAAGUCGAACGAGGUUUGUGGGUCUUCGGACCUACUUAUCUAGUGGCGAACGGGUGAGUAACACGUGAGGAACCUACCCCGAAGACCGGGAUAACUCUCCGAAAGGAGUGCUAAUACCGGAUGUCUUCACCUGACCGCAUGGUCGGGUGAAGAAAUGGAUUCCGCUUCGGGACGGCCUCGCGGCCUAUCAGCUAGUUGGUGGGGUAACGGCCCACCAAGGCAUCGACGGGUAGCUGGUCUGAGAGGACGAUCAGCCACACUGGGACUGAGACACGGCCCAGACUCCUACGGGAGGCAGCAGUGGGGAAUCUUGCGCAAUGGGCGAAAGCCUGACGCAGCAACGCCGCGUGGGGAUGACGGCCUCGG
rnacentral:rRNA from 1 species